GAAUCAGUAGCUCAGUUGGAUAGAGCGUCCCCCUCCUAAGGGGAAGGUCGCAGGUUCGACUCCUGUCUGGGACAUCA
rnacentral:tRNA from 1 species